CUCCUCAGUAUCCCGGUUGCUUGCCUUUGGGGACUAGACAGCUCCUGCUCACGAAGGACUGCACCUGCGUCCAGGACUGGACGGGGAGGUCCUAGAAGGACAAACUUGGUGUGCAAAUUGGAGGGCUCAGGUUUAACCUUGGGCAUGUAAAGAGACUAUUUUGACUAAAGCAGAAGACUUUUGUUAUCAAAAAUUGGCACCACAGAAUGGUGAUAUCAAAGUGAGAGCAGUGUUUGAGGAAACAAUUUAAAAGGUAAGAAAGAGUUAUUUCUUGGUCAAAUUAGUUUCUCACCCUAUUCACAGAAUUAUAGGAAUAAUGAAUUUUAGAGCUUCAAAGGACUUUAGAGAUCAUCAAAUACAACCUCUUCAUUUUUCAGAUGAUAAAUUAAG
rnacentral:lncRNA from 1 species